rnacentral:tRNA from 1 species
CAUUAGAUGGCUGAAAGUAAGCAUUGGUCUCUUAAACCACAAAAUAGUACUUAACGAUUACUUCUAAUG